GUCUUUUUAGUUUUUAAUUAUAUCACUGUGUUUAAAUGAAAAUGCCGAAAGCUGCCCCUAAAAAAAGACCUCGUAAUGAGAUACGUGCGAGAUUUUCCGGACGAAAUGUUUCGUAGCGAUUCGAAUAUUUUGUACUGUGAUGUAUGUGAUAAAGCCGUAUCAACUUUUCAGCGCUUUCAAGUUACACAACACAUAGGAACUAUAUUUUAUUCAAAUCUAUUUAAUAAAGACAACCUCCCAAUGUUUAAC